rnacentral:rRNA from 1 species
GACGAACGCUGGCGGCGUGCCUAAUACAUGCAAGUUGAGCGCUGAAGGUUGGUACUUGUACCAACUGGAUGAGCAGCGAACGGGUGAGUAACGCGUGGGGAAUCUGCCUUUGAGCGGGGGACAACAUUUGGAAACGAAUGCUAAUACCGCAUAAAACCUUUAAACACAAGUUUUAAGUUUGAAAGAUGCAAUUGCAUCACUCAAAGAUGAUCCCGCGUUGUAUUAGCUAGUUGGUGAGGUAAAGGCUCACCAAGGCGAUGAUACAUAGCCGACCUGAGAGGGUGAUCGGCCACAUUGGGACUGAGACACGGCCCAAACUCCUACGGGAGGCAGCAGUAGGGAAUCUUCGGCAAUGGACGAAAGUCUGACCGAGCAACGCCGCGUGAGUGAAGAAGGUUUUCGGAUCGUAAAACUCUGUUGGUAGAGAAGAACGUUGGUGAGAGUGGAAAGCUCAUCAAGUGACGGUAACUACCCAGAAAGGGACGGCUAACUACGUG